GCGGGCUUGUGGGGUGGUCUGAUACCAUUCCCGGCUCACCCACAUUCAGGCUGGUCCUAAGGCACCCUCUUCUCCCUCUUCAUGGUGAUGUUGUAUAAUGCCCAGCUCCAAGUAAGGAGUGAUAAAAGGAAAGGACAAUGACCCUGGCUUGAUAUCCUCCCUGCUGACACUGAUGCUAGGGAAGAGAAAUUCAUCAAUAGAAAGUUGUCGCCACCAAUUUUGGGCCACAGUAACUCUGGAAGAUCUGUGUUCAAGGAAAAACCCUCCACCCCAACCAUACCCCAACACACUGAAGAAAUAAUGGACCUUCAGAGACAUUGAAGUAUAUUUAGCUUAAAAAAAAAGCCAUUUAUCUUAAAAGGAAUACCAGAGGAGCAAGAGACCCAAUUCUUAAACUCAACCAGCGCCUGAGGACAUCAAGAAAGGCAGAAUGGAGCAAAAGCUGGAAGGGACCUUGGAGGUCAUUUAACCUA